CUGCUGUGCGCAAUUGGCUUCUGCGUUUCGCCCGCAAACUACAGUCAAAUCCGCUUUACAAUUAUAUUCUGGGAAGUGCUUUGAGAUGUCUCAACGACACGAUAAGGGGUUGUAUCGAAUGCAAAGGAAAGAAAGGGGAAGGCAGAAGGUGCAGCCUAAAAAAGGAAGUUUUAAUGGUGGGAAGGCAAGGCAGAGGGACUCCAGGUUGUAGAUUCCAAAAGUCCAGUAAUGCAGAGGCUUUUACACUCAUUUAUUGAAGCUUCAAGGUGUAUCUCAAGACGUACGUCUUUGAACUGUGCCUUUGAUCAUCCUUCCCCCAUCCCUCCCCCCUCCCCCCACAGGAUAAGUAUCUCACAGCCACUUAAAAAGAGGCCAAAAGCAGGUUGUGCAGCCCAUCAGCUCCUCCGUCCAGAGAACGGUACAUUCAAAGGCCUAAGUGUGUGUAUGGGUGGAUAUCACAUAUAUGUAUUUUUCUGAGAGAAAACCUAAUCUAAUCCAGUUGUAUUAAGAUUACCACUCUGCAGUUGACCAAUUAAAGAUCUGCAAUGAACGAGUCCUUCGGAUUUGAGCCUGGAUUUGAUCGCUGGCCUAUAAAGGCAACAUGAAAUCAACACCGAAAAGAGUCGUGAGAAACGCGUUGCGCCACAAUGGAUUCAUGGGUCACGCUUUGGAUAGUGACCUAGAACCUGAAUUUCAUCUUCCUAACUCAGGGACACCAAAGGCAAUUGCAACAACCCGAUUGCUGCCUCGGUUCAGAUCUUGCUGACUCAGCAGAGGUUUGGAAACUACUGGUCUGUUUGGUCUGAAAUGAUCAAUCGGCUGAAGCACAUUGUGACAGGAACUUUUGGGUUCUGAGGUUUAAAAUAACAAAACGUUGUCAAGAUCACGACAUAAGAAUUGAAGCACCAGCUAACAUUUGGAGAUCAGUCUUAAGGUGCGAUUUUAAGGCGAAGCUUACAGAACUCGUCUGACUUUGGUUAAUCGAUCGAGAAGUGGGACUGACAAUGACAAUGAAAUUGAACGGUUCUGCUUCACCGAGGCCGCCACACUUCAUUCUAAAGAUGGUCACGUGAGGUCAAGGGGUGCCUGCCAACGAGAGAAAGGGGGAAAAUAAGGAAAAAAUGUCCACAAAUUAGGAUCUCAAAAUUGCCAUGAUUGUUUUCCAGCUACGAGAACGGCAGGUAAUCUGCUUCCAUGCCUCCAGCAAUGACUUUCUUGACUCAACCACUCUCUUGAACCAACCACUAAGAAGUGAACGAUAGCAGCACCUAUGUGUGAACAUGUCCAUUUGUUUAUGAUCCUUCAUGGAGGAGAAUCCAUUCAUGAAGUUGGAUCUCAUGGUUGAGGGCAUCCACUCCUACAUUGUUUUACACUGGAAAGAGGAAUUGAGCUGACAUAUGCAGCAG